GCCCCCCCCCCCCGCUGCUGGAUCGCCGCUGCUGGAUCGCCGAGCGAUCCCUGUCCGCGCGCUUGCGAUGAACUCCGACCCGGCCGUCCCUAAAGAGCUCGGUGUUCUUUUGUAAGAUAAAGACCUCGGAAGGGUGCCCCAAGGCUCGCAAGAUAAAGAUAUCGGAAGCUAAAGACCUCGGAAGAUAAAGACCUCGGAAGAUAAAGACCCCAAGGCGAAUCGAAGAUAAAGAACUCGGAAGGGCGCCCCAAGGCUCGCAAGCAAAGUCGGAGCCUCGGCCGGGUCGGAGAUCAUCGCAAGCACGAAGCAGCAGACAGGGGAGAGCUCGGCGAUUCAACAGCGGACAGGGGAGAGAUUGACGAUCCAGCAGCGGACAGGGAGACCCUCAGAUAUGAAAACCUAAAAUGAGACACAGGGGAGAGCUCGGGUUCAGCCUAUUAUUUGGCCUUGCAUUUGUAGGUGUUGAUAAGAAUUUGGAUCCAUAUAUUGUCACUUGCGUUUGAUCUUUUCCAUUGUGGGAAUAUAACUUAUGAUUUCUCUGAAGCAAAAACUUUAGGAUAUCAUCCUUUGGUCUCUGCUUACUUCAUGGGAGUACAAUUUGCUCAAGAGACUAAGAAGGUCUUGGAGGUUUCUGCAAAGAAUGAAAUGACUUUUUUUGCUGGACAGAUAUACUACAAUUUGACUGAAAAAUUUUUUGCAGAUGGAAGAGUACUUGAGAAACCAAUGAUGAACAUGAUCAUCUUUGUCUUGAGUUGCUUGGAUCAGCUAUCGAUGACGUUUGGCGAGAAUAAUUAACCUGGAAAGUUGUUCUCUUAGCCAUUGGAUCAUUCUUUGUUGCUAUCUUGAAAGUAUUUUGCAGGUCAGUUGUACCGUAAGAAGCUGUUCUGGGAUUUGGCAGAAGAAGAAUUUAACUUUGCUCGAAUGCUCUUACAGGAAAAUGCCAUCAUAAUUUCUUGCAGGCAUUGCAAGUUGAUUUUUGACGUUACAAUUGAUAUGCAAAUUGCAGAUUCAUCGACAGAACGCUUGAAUAAAGGAGAUGAUAAUUACUCGGCAAUAUGUUGCUUUAAUUUUAAGCAUCAGAGUUGAUAAGCUAGUGUUGAUAGGGUCGAGAGUUGUUGGUAAGGGCAAGAGGUGGGUUUCAUGGUCGGAUUGUUGCAAAAAUUUACUAGGCACUCACCCAGAUUCAAAUGUACUCUACUACUCCCCAAGUGCUCAAAGUGUUACAGUGUGAUUCCAGAUGGGUCAUGCUAAAUCACAUACGUGUGUACCCCUAAGAUGGUUGUGGUGGACAUUUUACAAUGAGACAUAUGAAGGUUAGGAUGACAUCAUCUUUCAGAGGCAUGUACAGGCUUAUACUCAUCAUACUGGGCUGCUUUCUUAUUCCUUAUAUAUCUAAAUCAGAGAUCAUUUGCAGUACUUACCGGUUAUAGAGGAUUUGCUAGUUCUCUCCCAAUGCUCUAUUGGAUUAGCUCAACCCGGAAAUUUGUACGAUGUGCUCACACAAGCUACCCUGUCUGGUGAAUAUGCCAGGCUGUUUGCAUUUACUACAGCUAUGGACUUUAGAAAGAUUUCAUUCCAUUCCCUUCAGAGAUUGAUGGAAGUAGUGUUAGAUAGAUGUUGAAUGAGCAGUGCAUAUGAGCAGCGGUCGUGUCAUGUUGGGGUAUACUGUAAUGAAUUUGAUGGACUAUUUCUCUCAAAGAUUGUAGAUUUGUGCACCUCUGGUUCAGUUGCUUGGGAGAUAUUCUAGAGGCAUAGAUCGGGAUCAAGUUGUUGCUAUAUACAAGAUUUUGUUCAAGACAUGGGCUACACUACAACUACUUAGAGCUGCAGAGGAACCACUAGACGCAUAAUACCUUUGGGCACAUAUACAGACAACAUGAUUUCGUCGCAGAGAUAGAGGUGUAUUUAUCGCCAUUUUGGGGCUCCAGUGAUGAAAGUCUCAAAUGGAAGGCCAUAAAUAUUGUAGAGGAUGUUCGUAGCCACAUGAGGCGAUCAUCCUACCUAUCUAGUAUGCCACGAAGAUAUGACAAUGACGAGGAGGACGUAGGUGUUCCAUUGCCAACCUAUGAUGAUCCUGAGCCUUCCAGUUCUACCUUCAUAAUCCCACUGCCUCAUGUUCAGCUGACUUGGUCAUCAUAUGAGUACCCUCCGACAACAUAUAUAUGAUGCAGCAGGUACCUCAAGAGCGACACUAGGCAGCACCCCUUCACAUCAGUAGUUAUAGAUUCUGCAUUCACCGAUGCCUUCACAGGAUCAUCAAAUUUUGGAGUACGGUGUAGACUUCUUACAAGAUCAGGGAUAGUUUAUAUCAUAUCAUGUGCAUCUAUCAGCCACACCAAGAUGAGUGGACGACCAACACCUGCGAGAGCGACCCCGACAACCGCCAAAUUACUACAAACCAUGCAGAAGAGCGAUACUUCAUCGACAACGUCGUCGGUGGUCGUACGAUAUAUAUAUAUUAAAUAUUAUUUUAAUUGUCAGCUUACAUUCAAUUUGGGCACUGAA